rnacentral:rRNA from 1 species
AGCGAACGCUAGCGGCGGGCCUAACACAUGCAAGUCGAGCGGGGGAGCAAUCCCCAGCGGCGGACGGGUGAGUAACACGUAGGUUAUGUGCCCCUUGGUGGGGAAUAACCGUGGGAAACCAUGGCUAAUUCCGCAUAUCGAGCGAAAUCUUGAAAGCCUUCGGGCGCCAAAGGAGCAACCUGCGGCCCAUUAGCUUGUUGGUAGGGUAACGGCCUACCAAGGCGAUGAUGGGUAGCUGGUCUGAGAGGAUGAUCAGCCACACUGGAACUGAGACACGGUCCAGACUCCUACGGGAGGCAGCAGUGGGGAAUAUUGCGCAAUGGGCGAAAGCCUGACGCAGCCACGCCGCGUGAGUGAUGAAGGCCUUCGGGUCGUAAAACUCUGUCGGGAGGGACGAAGGGGCAACCCUGACGGUACCUCGCAAGAAAGCACCGGCUAACUCUGUGCCAGCAGCCGCGGUAAU